rnacentral:rRNA from 1 species
UACAGAGGGGGCAAGCGUUGUUCGGAAUUACUGGGCGUAAAGGGCGCGUAGGCGGUUACUUAAGUCGGAUGUGAAAGCCCCCGGCUCAACUGGGGAAGUGCACCCGAAACUGAAUGGCUUGAGUGCGAAAGAGGGUCGCGGAAUUCCCGGUGUAGAGGUGAAAUUCGUAGAUAUUGGGAAGAACACCGGUGGCGAAGGCGGCGACCUGGUCCGAUACUGACGCUGAGGCGCGAAAGCGUGGGGAGCAAACAGG